AUUGGGGAAUCUUCCGCAAUGGGCGAAAGCCUGACGGAGCAAUGCCGCGUGGAGGAGGAAGGCCUGUGGGUCGUAAACUCCUUUUCUCAGAGAAGAAGUUCUGACGGUGUCUGAGGAAUAAGCAUCGGCUAACUCUGUGCCAGCAGCCGCGGUAAUACAGGGGAUGCAAGCGUUAUCCGGAAUUAUUGGGCGUAAAGCGUCCUGAGGUGGCUUACCCAGUCGACUGUGAAAGCUCAAGGCUUAACCUUGAGACGGCAGUCGAAACUUGUAAGCUUGAGUACGGUAGGGGCAGAGGGAAUUCCCGGAGGAGAGGUGAAAUUCGUAGAUAUCGGGAGGAAGGCCAAAGGCGAAAGCACUCUGCUGGGCCGAUUACUGACACUGACAGACGAAAGCUAGGGGAGCGAAAGGGAUUAGAUACCCCUGUAGUCAAU
rnacentral:rRNA from 1 species